CUAGAUAGAUGGUGCUCGUCAGGGCAAAUCUAAUGAGCCCAAGCACAAUGGAUGAUAAUGAGUAGAUUAGGAUUUCUGGUGACCAACUCCUGACUCCAUCAUGAGAACCUGGACUUCAUCUAGAUCGAUGGUGCUCGUCGGGGCAAAUCUAUUGAGCCCAAACACGAUGGACUUAUUAUGAGUAGAUUAGGACUUCUGGUGAGUUCUGGUGACCAACUCCUGAUUCCAUCAUGAGAACCUGGACCUCAUCUAGAUUCGUGGUGUUCGUCAAGGCAAAUCUAUGGAGCCCAAACACGAUGGAGUUAUGAUGAGUAGAUUAGGAGUUCGGUGACCAAUUCCUGACUCCAUCAUGAGAACCUGGACAUCAUCCAGGUCGUCCGGGUAUAAUAAAAAUGCAAACCCUAACCAGAAUUCAAGUAACACUGAAAAUCUAUCACAUAAGCGAGAGUCGGUUGUUAAAAUUAAAUAUGGUGUAAAAAAUGUACUCUCUUGGAUCAAGAUUUUCUAAUCAUAGUAUACAACACUUCUCGGAACUUGUUUGUUUGUUUACGAAGCAACGUGCGCCUGACGAUCGAGCACAGGUCCGUCCCCUAAGCGCGCUCGGCGGAGAAUGAGCGCGCGGCGUCUCUGCAGCGUGAUUUAUAGGUCUUUUAAAAAAAUAUAGGUUUACGGCAAGAUAGGUCCUACAGUUAUGAUUUUUUUUAAAUGAGUUAACAUAAAGUUACAGUUUGAUAAAAUAUUUUUUUUGUGGCAAAAUAUAAGUCCAAUUUGCGAUAAAAAAAUGUAAUGUAACCCUGUUUUCACCAAAAAAAAUAAGAAAACUCGGAAGGUAUUUUAUCAUUUUUUUUGAAUGAAAGUUCGAUUUUUAAGCAUGUCAGCCCCUCGUACAAGAUAUGGUGAGUUGGAUUGUAAUCAUUCAUGUACCAAAUGAUUCUUGUUUACUGCAAAAUUGAGAACCGAAACGACCCUUCUCACUGCAAAUUUUUAAAAAGACUCCUAAGAAAACUCAUU